rnacentral:rRNA from 1 species
GAUGAACGCUGGCGGCGCGCCUAACACAUGCAAGUCGAACGGCACCCACCCUCGGGUGGAAGCGAGUGGCGAACGGCUGAGUAACACGUGGAGAACCUGCCCCCUCCCCCGGGAUAGCCGCCCGAAAGGACGGGUAAUACCGGAUACCCCGGGGUGCCGCAUGGCACCCCGGCUAAAGCCCCGACGGGAGGGGAUGGCUCCGCGGCCCAUCAGGUAGACGGCGGGGUGACGGCCCACCGUGCCGACAACGGGUAGCCGGGUUGAGAGACCGACCGGCCAGAUUGGGACUGAGACACGGCCCAGGCUCCUACGGGAGGCAGCAGUGGGGAAUCUUGCGCAAUGGGGGGAACCCUGACGCAGCGACGCCGCGUGCGGGACGGAGGCCUUCGGGUCGUAAACCGCUUUCAGCAGGGAAGAGUCAAGACUGUACCUGCAGAAGAAGCCC